rnacentral:misc_RNA from 1 species
GUAUAAGUUUAAGAGGUAUUAAAACCCCAUUAACAUUCUAAUACAUUCUGAUGGAGUAUGUAUAAAAUAACAUAGAAUAAGAUAUAUUUGCUAGGGAAGAAGCUGCUCAUUACAGCAGCAACACCCACAAAACAAAUCGAGUGUUACCUCGAGAAGUAAUAUGCUCUUAUUCUACAAAAGGUGCACAGGUGAUGAAAAUUGAGUAAAUGGCAGGCGUGCACAGUGCUCUAGAGAGCCAGCAACAACCAGUACCAGAUGUAUUUCAAUAAUGAUCCUUCCGCAGGUUCACCUACGGAAA